AUUGAACGCUGGCGGCAAGCCUAACACAUGCAAGUCGAACGAGUGGCGGACGGGUGAGUAAUGUCUGGGAAACUGCCUGAUGGAGGGGGAUAACUACUGGAAACGGUAGCUAAUACCGCAUACCAUCGGAUGUGCCCAGAUGGGAUUAGCUAGUUGGUGGGGUAAAGGCUCACCAAGGCGACGAUUCCUAGCUGGUCUGAGAGGAUGACCAGCCACACUGGAACUGAGACACGGUCCAGACUCCUACGGGAGGCAGCAGUGGGGAAUAUUGCACAAUGGGCGAAAGCCUGAUGGAGCCAUGCCGCGUGUAUGAAGAAGGCCUUCGGGUUGUAAAGUACUUUCGGCGGGGAGGCGUUACCUACAGAGGAAGCACCGGCUAACUCCGUGCCAGCAGCCGCGGUAAUUC
rnacentral:rRNA from 1 species